UAGGGAAUCUUCGGCAAUGGACGAAAGUCUGACCGAGCAACGCCGCGUGCGUGAAGAAGGUUUUCGGAUCGUAAAACUCUGUUGUUAGAGAAGAACAAGGACGUUAGUAACUGAACGUCCCCUGACGGUAUCUAACCAGAAAGCCACGGCUAACUACGUGCCAGCAGCCGCGGUAAUACGUAGGUGGCAAGCGUUGUCCGGAUUUAUUGGGCGUAAGGCGAGCGCAGGCGGUUUCUUAAGUCUGAUUUGAAAGCCCCCGGCUCAACCGGGGAGGGUCAUUGGAAAGUGGGAGACUGGGGGGCAGAAGAGGACAGUGGAAUUGCAUGUGUAGAGGUGAAAUGCAUAGAUAUAGGGAGGAACACCAGUGGCGAAGUCGGCUCACUAAUCUGAAACUGACGCUGAGGCUCGAAGGCGUGGGGGGUAAACAAG
rnacentral:rRNA from 1 species